CCGGGUGUUUAACCAUAUUGUGCACCCGACAUUUAGUCGAAGCACUAAAAAGGAGAAA
rnacentral:ncRNA from 1 species